UUUCCGUAGGUGAACCUGCGGAAGGAUCAUUCAUAAUAAGUGUUUUAUGGCACUUUUUUAAAUCCAUAUCCACCUUGUGUGCAAUGUCAGGGUUGAUUUUUCUCUCGAGAGGAUCAACCCCAAACAUCAACUAUAUCUCAACUCUUUGUCUGAAAAGUAUUAUGAAUAAAACAAUUCAAAAUACAACUUUCAACAACGGAUCUCUUGGCUCUC
rnacentral:misc_RNA from 1 species